ACAUUCAAAUCACAUACCAGAACUAAAACUACAACACUCCUAACAUCUCUUCUGAAGCUCUUUGAGAUGAUCCUAUUCUUUCAUGGAACCUGCAGUUAGAUGCCUGCGCGCAUCACUUUUUCGAUGAUCUACGAAAUCCGAAUACUCUGCUUCCGAAUGGAAGCUCUCUUCCACCUCUAUUCAAUUUCACCCCUCAAGAGCUUGAAGGUGCUUCCCCUGAUCUGAUUCAGCGUCUCAUACCUGAGCAUGCUAUGCGCUAAAUUAAUCAAUAUAAACAGCAAUUGGUUAUUUCUGGGAAUUGGAGAAGAGAACGAUUGUUCUACUUGGGCUUGCUUCUUCAUGAAAUUAGCAUUCUGCACAUUGAAAAAGGAAGAACCAUAAACGAAUGCUGAUCUGAACUGAAGCCUUCCUGGCAACCAUUAUUCAUCAGAAAAUAGGCAUCGUUUGUUUUUUUUUUUUUUUUGGCCGGCCAUCUGAUUUCCAUCUAUUUGUCUUGGCUUAUUACCCCUCUAGAUCAUCUGAAACUUUUUGAGCUGUCAUUGUAAGCUAAAAUGUUGUUGUAAUUGCCGUUCUUUGAUGAUGCACUUCUUUGUAUUCCUGAACUGUAUUAGGGUUAUUAUAAGGAUCAGUAAUAAAUUCAUAUUUUUUUAUAU